rnacentral:rRNA from 1 species
CAGUCGCCGCGGUAAUACGAAGGGGGCUAGCGUUGUUCGGAUUUACUGGGCGUAAAGCGCACGUAGGCGGACUUUUAAGUCAGGGGUGAAAUCCCGGGGCUCAACCCCGGAACUGCCUUUGAUACUGGAAGUCUUGAGUAUGGUAGAGGUGAGUGGAAUUCCGAGUGUAGAGGUGAAAUUCGUAGAUAUUCGGAGGAACACCAGUGGCGAAGGCGGCUCACUGGACCAUUACUUACGCUGAGGUGCGAAAGCGUGGGGAGCAAACAGGAUUAGAUACCCCAGUAGUCCCUGUCUCUUAUAC